rnacentral:rRNA from 1 species
GACGAACGCUGGCGGCGUGCCUAAUACAUGCAAGUUGAGCGCUGAAGGUUGGUACUUGUACCAACUGGAUGAGCAGCGAACGGGUGAGUAACGCGUGGGGAAUCUGCCUUUGAGCGGGGGACAACAUUUGGAAACGAAUGCUAAUACCGCAUAAAAACUUUAAACACAAGUUUUAAGUUUGAAAGAUGCAAUUGCAUCACUCAAAGAUGAUCCCGCGUUGUAUUAGCUAGUUGGUGAGGUAAAGGCUCACCAAGGCGAUGAUACAUAGCCGACCUGAGAGGGUGAUCGGCCACAUUGGGACUGAGACACGGCCCAAACUCCUACGGGAGGCAGCAGUAGGGAAUCUUCGGCAAUGGACGAAAGUCUGACCGAGAAACGCCGCAUGAGUGAAGAAGGUUUUCGGAUCGUAAAACUCUGUUGGUAGAGAAGAACGUUGGUGAGAGUGGAAAGCUCAUCAAGUGACGGUAACUACCCAGAAAGGGACGGCUAACUACGUG